rnacentral:rRNA from 1 species
UACGGGGGGGGCAAGCGUUGUUCGGAAUUACUGGGCGUAAAGGGCGCGUAGGCGGCCAGCACAAGUCAGUUGUGAAAUCUCCGAGCUUAACUCGGAAAGGUCAACUGAUACUGUGCGGCUAGAGUGCGGAAGGGGCAACUGGAAUUCUUGGUGUAGCGGUGAAAUGCGCAGAUAUCAGGAGGAACACCGGUGGCGAAGGCGGUUCUCUGGGCCUGUACUGACGCUGAGGAACGAAAGCGUGGGGAGCGAACAGG